CGGUCGAACAGAGAGCAACGCCUUGGAAUUAUACAUUAAAUUUAUAUCUAAGGUUUCUACUUACUUGUAUUUUCAUCCUCGUGUCAGACAGUGACAUUAUGAAACAUUGUUUCUAUCGGUAUUAUGAUUUAUGGAGCGAAGAUAACCGAGGAAGGAGGUCGAUGAUAUCUGAGCUCCACAAAUCACCAUAAUAAUUCAUAUCCCUAUUGUAUUGUCUGUUUUAGCAAGUCCAUAGAGGCUGUGUAGACUGUCCGUUUUCUUGUUUACGCCUGAGAGAUGGACAACCCACCUGUGUUUUUGAUAGAGUUUUAGCUCAAUACUAUUCAGUUGAUGCCAGUUCUGUUGAAGUCGAUGGGGUAUUUUUCGGAAUGCAUGUGAACGAACAUUUGACUGAAGGUGAAGCAAGAAAUGCAUGCAUUUCCUACGAAGGAAGACUGGCGAUUUUGAACACACAGAGGAAAAUAUGGAUGCUGAGUACCGCAAUGCAAGGAAUUCAAAUGCAGUACGGAGUAAUUGGCGCAUACAAAUCCUCUGGAGAAGUUAAGUGGUCUUCGGGAGAACCAUUGCAAUCAACAUCUGUCCAAAACGGUGAGGACGAAUUCUGCUUUGCACUGUAUGAUUCCGGCGAAAUUGCUGACACGCAUUGCGAUGCCCAACGGAAUUUCAUUUGCGAGCUGAUAAGUGGAGUCUGAUGUAAAGAUGUCGGGUGAUUUCGAAGAGAUAUCUUUAAUAUUUAUGGAAUGAUUUGAAAAAAUAACAUAUAAAGCCUACAUCUUCCAGAUGUCGUAGCAAAAAUGCUCAGAAACGAAACAUUUUUGGAAAUCAAAAUUCCUUUCUAUGUAUUGUAAACCUUUAACUCGUUAAGGUUAGAUCUAUGACCGCUUUAUUGUACGUGGUGGAUUAAUGUUUUACUCUGUUUCUUCUUAUCAUUAUUACAAGCUAACCGAUACGUCAUUUGUAAUAUUAUCUGUAUCAUGUAAAAAUGAAAUUUUCGGAGGUGGGUAAUUCUGUGUAAUACAAGUCGGAGGGAUCGUAGAGAGGAAAUUGUCCUCACUCGGCUCCGUACCGGAACACAUAUCCUACUCAUUCGUUCCUUUUAAUACGAAAAGAUCCACCAAUAUGACAUUUUUUAAUAGAAUGUUCCGAUUUGAAGCAUAUUCGAGAUAAAUACUUUCGAGUCAAGGAUAUGAAAAACCCUUUUUAGUUCCGUGGAUUCGAAAACAAUAUUUAGCUACUUGAAAGAACUCGAUCUAUUCUAUAGACGUUGAUGUAUUUUACCUUACUCCCUUUGACGUUCUAAAUAUAUCAAAGUUCACAAGUCAUAAUCUAUUCGUAUAUAUAUAUAUAUAUAUUACCAUUUUUAACCAACCUUUUUAUAUUAUAAUGAUCUAAACAUACAAAACGAAUGCUUUUAAAAAUGACCUAUGUUAUCUAAUUUUAACAUAAAAAAUCUUAACGAUAUAAUUUUUUUUGCCCUUAAUGACGCUAGUUGUCGAUGGGCCGUAAACUCAAACAAAUAAAAAAGUACAUUAUUUCUCUCAUCCCUACCGGUAUCAUAUUGGUCUGUCCAGGUAAAUACACCCAUG